CUCUUUGUAGUGUGCUCUGAAGGAGUCCCGGAUCGCCAGGAGUCCAGAGGCCAGAAGAUGUCCGCUCACUUUGCAGUGCCACUCCUGCGACCGGCCCCUUGAAGAUAAAAUGGAGGAGAUCUCUCAGUAAAACGAAGCUUCCAUCCUUACCUGGUAUCUGUUCGGCAGAGGUGCGUCAGUCGGGUCUUCCUGGCUCCGGUGGGCUCCAGCAGGUAGAGGCAGGAGUGGACGUGGGCCCGAACCCCCUCCAACAGCACCUCGGGGUGCUCCGUGGAGACCGAGGACAGGUACAGAGGGCCGCAGGAUGGGUCUGCCUGCCAGGUCCUGAGAGGGAAGGAUGAGAGAGCUGCUCACUGUGUGCAUUUCUAACACUGUUAGGAGCCAGAGGCCCGUUAAGCCUGGGGCUCGCCUUGCCUCAUUACCUGAGCAGCAGGUGCUCCUGUGGGGGCCGGGAGCCCAGGCCACAGCCCUGAUCCUGUAGGAGGUAGCGGUAGACGUCGG